AUUUAUCUAGUAUACAAGUAUAUCUGACUUCCAAUCAGAUGGACUGAGCUUAAACCUCAGGAUAAAUA
rnacentral:tRNA from 1 species